rnacentral:rRNA from 1 species
GAUGAACGCUGGCGGCAUGCCUAACACAUGCAAGUCGAACGGGAAGUCGUGUUUCUUGUGGCGGACGGGUGAGCAACGCGUAAGAACCUGCCCUGGGGAUGGGAACCACAGCUGGAAACGGUUGCUAAUACACCGUAGGCCGAGUAGCAGAUGAAGGAAUGCACCCGAGGGGGGGUUCGCGACUGAUUUGCUAGUUGGUGAGGCAAUAGCUUACCAAGGCGCUGAUCAGUGGAUGUUGGGAGAGGGAGACCGGCCACACUGAGACGGAGACCCGGCGCAGGGUACUACGGGCGACGGGAGUAGGGCAUACGCAGCAAUGCGGGGAAGGUUAACGGGGCAUUGGGGUGGUGAAGCACUGGGACUAGGGGUGAUGAAAUGCUUAUGCCAGAAAACACGUAAUGACGGUAUCUGAGGAAUAAGCAUCGGCUAACUCCGUG